rnacentral:lncRNA from 1 species
AAAAAUACGAGGUAACCUCCUAUGAACAUGGCCAACUAGACAGAUGUUCUUUGCGUGAACAGCAAAGCCUCUACAGGGGAAGGGAAUGUGCCAGCCCUUUGUUUGGCUAUGAACAAUAUGCCACCUGAUGAAAUACUUAUGUAAGCAGGAUGAGGAAAAGACGUGUCAGUAUUGGAGCACAUAAAUCUUCAGUUCAAAGAGUGUUGUUGAGGUGGGACUUUGAAACAAGGAAAUUACACGCGGCUGCUGUGCUAUUCUGUUCCAGGUCACCAGGUUCUGAUGUCAUCGGACUACUGAAUGCAUGAUGAGAGAACAGGAUUCAUAGUUUUUAAUCCUUAUAAAUGCUGAAGCAUGGGUGUUACUCCUGCUCCAGUCAAUGAGAUCUUCACAAAGACUGGAGAGUGGAAAGUAGUUGAAGGACUCAGUCCAGAAAAAGCUGAUGUGUUGGUAAAGAGAGUAACAACUUCUACAGUUCGUGUGGAGGAAAGAAAAAUGAUGGGCGUGAGAGGCAUAUGUUUUAUUCUCUAUUGCACAGCUGUCUCUUGCAUUGCAGAGGACCACCUUCUGCUUCAAUAUUAAGGUUCCUGACUUGUGACAUCUGACUUCAGAAUGUUCCUAUGGAAAUACCAGCCAAACAACACUUAGGAACCCUGUUUUGAAAUGUCCUCAUCUUGCUAGCCUUUGUUAGUAUCUCUGCACUAUUUUUAGUUACUAGUACAGAUAACUGCUCACCACAAUGAUCUGUACUGUAAGUAAAUAUUCUGUAAAUUAAAUUAUUACAAGUUUUUUGAUAUACAUCAUAUGCUCCUUUUAAGUUUUGCAUCCACAGCUCAUUAAAUGUGCAAAAGCUGGUAAAACAAAGAUGGUAUGGACUCCUGACAAUUUUUAAAAGAGCCUUACCUAAAAUAAAUUCUACUUGAUUCUCUUAUUUUUAACUGAG